rnacentral:rRNA from 1 species
AGUGAACGCUGGCGGCGUGGAUUAGGCAUGCAAGUCGUGCGAUCUCGCAAGAGAUAGCGGCAAAAGGGUGAGUAACGCGUAAGUAAUCUUCCUUCGAGACGGGGAUAGCACUGUGAAAACGGUGGUAAUACCCGAUGUUAUAAUGAAUCCGCAUGGAUUUAUUAUCAAAGACGGGGAUCCGCAAGGACCUGUCACUCAAAGAUGAGCUUGCGUACCAUCAGCUAGUUGGUAGGGUAACGGCCUACCAAGG